AUGUUUUUUCAAAGCUUUGUUCUAAAAUGUGCUUUUCCUGGAUUAAAGACUCAAGGUUGGCCAUUUUGUUUUUCACAUCCUUCCACGCUGCGUCCCAAAUGGCCCCAGGCUGCUCCACCUUGUUGUCUGUCCAACCCCACCACGCUGCUCCACCUUGUUGUCUGUCCAACCCCACCACGCUGCUCCACCUUGUUGUCUGUCCAACCCCACCACGCUGCUCCACCUUGGUGUCUGUCUAACCCCACCACGCUGCUCCACCUUCGUGUCUGCCCCCCAACCCCACCACGCUGCUCCACCUUGUUGUCUGUCCAACCCCACCACGCAGCUCCACCUUGUUGUCUGUCCAACCCCACCACGCUGCUCCACCUUGGUGUCUGUCUAACCCCACCACGCUGCUCCACCUUCGUGUCUGCCCCCCAACCCCACCACGCUGCUCCACCUUGUUGUCUGUCCAACUCCACCACGCUGUCUGUCCAACUCCACCUUGGUGUCUGCCCCCCAACCCCACCACGCUGCUCCACCUUGUUGUCUGUCCAACUCCACCACGCUGCUCCACCUUGGUGUCUGCCCCCCAACCCCACCACGCAGCUCCACCUUGUUGUCUGUCCAACCCCACCACGCAGCUCCACCUUGUGGUCUGACCCCAACCCCACCAUGCUGCUCCACCUUGGUGUCUGCCCCCCAACCCCACCACGCUGCUCCACCUUGUGGUCUGCCCCCCAACCCCACCAUGCUGCUCCACCUUGUGGGCUGCCCCCCAACCCCACCACGCUGCUCCACCUUGUGGGCUGCCCCCCAACCCCACCACGCUGCUCCACCUUGUGGUCUGCCCCCCAACCCCACCACGCUGCUCCACCUUGUGGGCUGCCCCCCAACCCCACCACGCUGCUCCACCUUGUAGUCUGCCCCCCAACCCCACCACGCUGCUCCACCUUGUGGUCUGUCCCCCAACCCCACCACGCUGCUCCACCUUGUGGGCUGCUCCCCAACCCCACCAUGCUGCUCCACCUUGUGGGCUGCCCCCCAACCCCACCACGCUGCUCCACCUUGUGGUCUGUCCCCCAACCCCACCAUGCUGCUCCACCUUGUAGUCUGCCCCCCAACCCCACCACGCUGCUCCACCUUGUAGUCUGCCCCCCAACCCCACCACGCUGCUCCACCUUGUGGGCUGCUCCCCAACCCCACCAUGCUGCUCCACCUUGUGGGCUGCCCCCCAACCCCACCACGCUGCUCCACCUUGUGGGCUGCUCCCCAACCCCACCACGCUGCUCCACCUUGUGGGCUGCUCCCCAACCCCACCACGCUGCUCCACCUUGUGGGCUGCCCCCCAACCCCACCACGCUGCUCCACCUUGUGGGCUGCCCCCCAACCCCACCACGCUGCUCCACCUUGUAG
rnacentral:lncRNA from 1 species